CAUGCAAGUAGGACGCACAGUUUAUACCGUAGCUUGCUACACCAUAGACUGUGAGUUGCGAACGGGUGAGUAACGCGUAGGUAACCUGCCUAUUAGAGGGGGAUAACUAUUGGAAACGAUAGCUAAUACCGCAUAACAGUAUGUAACACAUGUUAGAUGCUUGAAAGAUGCAAUUGCAUCGCUAGUAGAUGGACCUGCGUUGUAUUAGCUAGUAGGUAGGGUAAUGGCCUACCUAGGCGACGAUACAUAGCCGACCUGAGAGGGUGAUCGGCCACACUGGGACUGAGACACGGCCCAGACUCCUACGGGAGGCAGCAGUAGGGAAUCUUCGGCAAUGGGGGGAACCCUGACCGAGCAACGCCGCGUGAGUGAAGAAGGUUUUCGGAUCGUAAAGCUCUGUUGUUAAGGAAGAACGAGUGUGAAAAUGGAAAGUUCAUACUGUGACGGUACUUAACCAGAAAGGGACGG
rnacentral:rRNA from 1 species